rnacentral:lncRNA from 1 species
AUUAAUCAGCUUCAAACCUGUCACUUUUAAACCAAUCAAACACACAGUCGAGGGUACUACGUCAUAUUGCAUGUGUUUUCUUUACCAAAUAUGGGAUUAGGUAAACACAGCCAUAUGUUGUUACACUACGUGUGACAAUUUUAUGUUAUCGGGCAUAUGUUUAUGGGAAUCAGAUAUGCAGCCGUCACAGCCAGCUGAUGAAGAUCCACAGCUUAUACAGAGGUCAGGCUUGAGCUAUUUGCUGAUUCAAAAGACGCUAAUGACAGUAGAUAAUCCAUUCUGAGCUCUUCUAGGACCAUUCACCAAGGUUCCAAAACACUGAUGGAUCUGAAGGCAGUACCUGUAUUGGUGUCUGGUCUGUGAUUUCAAGUAUAAUUGAUGUACCUCCUCCUGAUGUAUCUCCUCGAAUACAAUAUAUCUGCCAUGUGAAAGGAACAAGCUGCAAGAUAUACUGUGGAAGUGGGGGCCUAUGUAAAAAACAAUUUAUUUAAAGAGUAUAAAAAAUCUGACACUAAACUACUGAAAAGGUGCACAUGGGACAUUUUUGUGUGUAUAGACUUUCAUCAAGAUUCUGACAAAGUUGAUUUAUCAAACAAAAAUAGUCAGAUUGUGUCUUCAAAGCUGAAAAGAUUAAAAUCUUAGGAAAACAUUAGGACUCAAGAAAAGUAAUGGGGUUAUGAAACUGUAGUGUUCAACAUUUAAAUUGUUUUUUGUUUUUUUUUCACUACAUUUUGUGAAGAGGGUUCCAUUUCAAGAUGCGACAUAUUGCCUGAUAUUGGUAAGAAUGAGGUGUAGUUUAUGAAAAAAAAAGUAUUUUGCUUUAAAUGUGCAGACUUUAAGUUACAUAAAAAAUCAAAGCUCUAACAAUAAAGCUUGAUUAAAAA